rfam:Streptococcus urinalis 2285-97 final_molecule, whole genome shotgun sequence.
UUAACGGAUUUUUUCAAAUCCCACACUUAUAAUAAAAAACGUGAUUU